AUGAAGAAUUACAACGAGAGGAACAAUAAGUCUGACCCUGACACAAAAAAUCACAUAACAGGCUGCCGUCUCGUGGUGCUCUCAACCCACUCCAACCCCAAAAUUCUCAAGUCCAAUCGGAGGUCGUGCUAUGGCCAGCCUCUGUCUCCUUACGACCAAGAUGACGACGAAGAGGUUUCUCGUGCUAGUGAUGUUUCGGAUGACGAUUGGUUGCUCAAUGAUGACUUUGCAGAAAUUUCAGAGUUUGAUGUUAAUAGAAAGAGGUCCAAAUCACACAAGGGAUUUGCGAAUGGUCAUUCGGAUGGCAGAAACAGUAAGCACACUCUAGAGAAAAGUAAUGCUGCAAACUACUACAAUAGUUCUAAUCAAACAAAUGGUGUCAGUUCCUUGGAUGUACCUCGUAAGGGAAAGCAGUCUACAAGGAAAGCUAUGGAGGAUAGAUUUCCUCGGCUAUCAGAAGAGGUUGAAUUGGAUGAGAAGUGGUUACCUCUUAUUGAUUACCUUAGUUCAUUUGGGCUUAAGGAAUCACACUUUAUUCAAAUGUAUGAGAGGCAUAUGCCUUCUCUUCAAAUAAAUGUGUGCUCUGCAAAGGAAAGGUUGGAAUAUUUGUUGAGUGUUGGGGUCAAACAAAGAGAUGUAAGAAGAAUGCUUUUGAGGCAGCCACAAAUCCUUGAAUAUACAGUUGAGAACAAUUUGAAGUCCCAUGUUGCUUUCCUCAUGAGUUUGGGUAUUCCAAGUUCCAGAGUCGGGCAGAUUAUCGCUGCUGCUCCAUCCCUCUUCUCUUACAGUGUUGAGAAUUCAUUGAAACCCACCGUGAGAUACUUAGUUGAGGAGGUCGGGAUUAAGGAAAAAGAUUUAGGUAAAGUUGUGCAGUUAAGCCCUCAAAUUCUAGUUCAGCGGAUUGAUAUAUCAUGGAAUACUCGUUUGAAUUUUCUUUCUAAGGAGAUAGGAGCACCCAGAGAUAGUAUUGUGAAGAUGGUUAAAAAACAUCCCCAGUUCCUCCACUAUAGCAUCGAUGAUGGACUGUUCCCCAGGAUCAAUUUCCUUAAGAGUAUUGGGAUGUGUAAUGCUGACAUCUUGAAAGUCUUAACUAGUCUGACACAGGGACUAUCCCUAUCACUGGAGGAGAAUUUGAAACCCAAGUACAAGUACUUGGUCAAUGAACUCCAUAAUGAAGUGCAUUCCUUGACCAAAUAUCCUAUGUACCUAAGCUUGUCUUUAGACCUGAGAAUUCACCCCCGACAUAGGUUCUUGCUUUCUCUGAAGAAGCUCCUAAGGGGCCAUUUCCUUUAAGCUCGUUACCAAAUAAGGCACAGAUAACUAAUAACCGUGCCUAA